rnacentral:rRNA from 1 species
UGGGGAAUCAUGGUCAAUGGGCGAAAGCCUGAACCUGCGACGCCGCGUGUGCGAAGAAGGCCUUCGGGUUGUAAAGCACUUUUUGAGAGGAUGAGGAAGGACGGUACUCUCAGAAUAAGUCUCGGCUAACUACGUGCCAGCAGCCGCGGUAACACGUAGGAGGCAAACGUUAUCCGGAUUUACUGGGCGUAAAGCGCGUGUAGGUGGUUUGGUAAGUAGAGCGUGAAAGCUCCUGGCUCAACUGGGAGAGGUCGUUCUAAACUGCCGGACUAGAGGAUGGUAGAGGGAGGUGGAAUUCCGGGUGUAGCGGUGGAAUGCGCAGAUAUCCGGAGGAACACCAGUGGCGAAAGCGGCCUCCUGGACCACUCCUGACACUCAGACGCGAAAGCUAGGGUAGCAAACG